rnacentral:rRNA from 1 species
AUUGAACGCUGGCGGCAGGCUUAACACAUGCAAGUCGAGCGAGCGGCGGACGGGUGAGUAAUGUCUGGGAAACUGCCUGAUGGAGGGGGAUAACUACUGGAAACGGUAGCUAAUACCGCAUACCAUCAGAUGUGCCCAGAUGGGAUUAGCUAGUAGGUGGGGUAAUGGCUCACCUAGGCGACGAUCCCUAGCUGGUCUGAGAGGAUGACAACACACACUGGGAAUCAGAGACGCUCCAGAGACCUACGGGGGGCAGCGGUGGGGAAUAUUGCACAAUGGGGGCGAGCCUGAUGCGGCCAUGCGGCGUGUGUGAAGAAGGCCUUCGGGUUGUAAAGCACUUUCAGCGAGGAGGCGUUACUCGCAGAAGAAGCACCGGCUAACUCCGUGCCAGCAGCCGCGGUAAUUC